CGCACAUUGCGCCCCUCGGAAUUCCGGGGGGCAUGCCUGUUCGAGCGUCAUUGCACCCCUCAAGCGUCAGCUUGGUCCUGAACCUCGCCCCUUUCCCGGGGGGCGUGUUUGAAAACGAGCGGCGAUCCGGUGGGACUUCAAGCGCAGUAAAACCUCCUCGCUUUGGAAGCUUCCCCCCGGGGCCUGCCCAUAACCGACCAUUACCAUCCUGACAAUUGACCUCGGAUCAGGUAGGGAUACCCGCUGAACUUAA
rnacentral:misc_RNA from 1 species